AUGCUCUCAUCAGUGCUGCUGCUGCUCACAGCUGCAUUCUGUGGUGUUGGUGCUGUGGAGCUCACUCAGUCAGCCUCUGUGCUCGUGAAACCUGGAGAGUCGUUCUCCAUCUCUUGUAAGACCUCAGAGUCGAGCUAUUGUAUUACCUGGAUACGACAACCUGCUGGGAAAGCUCUGGAAUGGCUCGGAUAUCUGUGUAGUGGUGGUAGCACGAAUCUCAAAGAUACAGUGAAGAGCAAGAUCAGUUUCAGCCAGGACACAUCCAGCAGAACAGUUUAUUUAAGAGGACAAAACUCUCAGACCGAGGACACGGCUGUGUAUUACUGUGCCAGAGACACACAGCACUACAGACUCCCUGCAGCCCUGUACAAAAACAUCCCUGUUCAUUUUCAUCUCCCUGCAGUCCACUUGUCCCCAGGGACGCCUGAUGUGUUCUGUGCUACUGAGCUCAUCCAGCCAGACUCAGUAGUGAUAAAGCCAGGAGAGACUUUAACCAUCACCUGUAGAGUGUCUGGAGCUUCGAUCACUGACAGCAGCAGCCACUAUGGAACAGCUUGGAUUCGACAACCUGCAGGAAAACCUUUGGAAUGGAUCAACGCCAUUUAUUAUAAUGGGAACAUUGAAAAGAAAGAUUCACUGAAAGACAAAUUUGAAUCCACAGUGCUACAGCUCUAA